UACGAAGGGGGCUAGCGUUGUUCGGAAUUACUGGGCGUAAAGGGCGUGUAGGCGGUCCGCUAAGUCAGGUGUGAAAGGCCUGGGCUCAACCCAGGAAAUGCGCCUGAGACUGACGGACUUGAGUCCGGGAGAGGAUGGUGGAACUCCCAGUGUAGAGGUGAAAUUCGUAGAUAUUGGGAAGAACACCCGUGGCGAAGGCGGCCAUCUGGACCGGUACUGACGCUAAGGCGCGACAGCGUGGGGAGCAAACAGG
rnacentral:rRNA from 1 species